CCCGAACACGCGCGUUUCCAUUUCCCGGUCUUACGGGCUUAGGAUGACUGCAGUCGGCCCCAGAAGUAACGGCGGAAAACGUGCGCAAAACGAAGUCGUUUCCGGUACGUAUCUUGAAUAACAACAAUAAUAAUAAUUAAAAACAAAAAGCUGUCUUAGAAUAACGAUGGGAACGGGUGCGGAGAAGGAUAUAGGGUGUGAAACGUACAAUGAAUUAAAGCGGAAAGCGGAAAAUCGCGAAGAACGAACCUAACCUGCCAACCAACCCCAUGAGCUGUUAACGGGAAGAAGAUAUUGUUGUUUUUAUUGUCACGAUUUAAAAUUUUUAUUUUUAUCGAUUCUCAAUGUUUUGAUCGAAAUGUACAAAAUGUUAUUAAUAUUGGCGCAAGUGAUACUACUUUAUCAAACAAUAUCUUUAGCACUUUUGUCAUACGUUGGGUACGACUUUAAAUAGGCGCCUACGUCCUACUAAUUUUGGCGCAAAUAAUGCGUAAUUUUUACACGUUCCGCGCUCACGCCGUGUGGCAAUAUUAUUUCCGCGAUUACACAAUCGAAAAUCCGUCGAGUCCCGAGGACGCGUCCCGGCAAUAUCCGCCGUUUCUAUAGGAUUUAUAGGUAAGUGCACGCGGCCGGAACGACGGUGCCGACGAAUGCGUUCGCGUCGCUCUUAUACUGUGUCCGUCAAUUAUGUUAUAACUUGUCUAACUAAUCAGGGCUUAUAACUUUAAACGUUUGCAUUUUUUUUUUUUUUUUUCUCAGCGAUCUUAAAGAUACUUUCGUGAGCUAGAAUAAAUUUGUUUCGCGAAGCUAUGCGCGAAAGUUUGUGUGGCAUAUUUCGCAGUUUACGUGCCGUUUUCCCCGUUUUGUACAUGCUUAGCGCUAUUACAAUACACCGCAGGCUUCAAAGUGUAUACUUGACGACGAGAAUAAUUCGUACGGUCUAGGACAUGUCCAUUCGUUUCUAUUAGCCGGACGCUUCGACCCGUGACAGACGGUUAUCGUAUCGAUAACCGCCGCAAUCGUAUCGCGUGCAUUUGUAUUUUUAUUUUUUCAUAACACACAGUGUCUAGAUAUCCGGUAUCGUUUUUGUUAUUGUUAUUUUCUCGUUUUUAAACGCUUGUUUACAUGUUUUCGAGUGCGUAUUAUCGCGCCCAUAACAGCCAUUUUUUAGAGCUACAAGUUACGAGCCCUGACAACUGCAUGUAGAUAUGCGUCCCGGUCGAGAAAAAUACGAAUUACAUUAUCGCGGUGUCGUCUUAUGUGCGCGGUGCCGUCAAACGAUAUGGGCUAACGAAAACCACACGCUAUACACGUCCACAUCGAAUACUCGUGCGUUUUACUAUCGCCGUGUUGUGACUUAAGUCGCUCGGAAACAAGACGAAAUAUACCGCGACUGCGGUGGCGUACCAAGGAUUUCGCCGGGGAGGGAGUCGUUUCCAUCCGUCGGAAACCCCGACGUCGUAAAUCAUAAUGUCACGUCGUAAAACGCGUGUCUUUGUUGGGUGAAACAAAACAGAAAACCGUCAACUUUAAAUUUAUUUCCGUGAGCAAUUUAUUUGCCCUGCAAUCAUCAAAACACUACUACAGGUAUUGCUGCGUUAGUACCUAAUCAUUGUUAUUUAGUUUGUUUACUGUAUUGUGGUACAAUAUUUGAUAUCCUCCGUGUUAAAGCGGUUCGGAUGGAUUUCGUUUUAAACGAGGGAAUGUCGGCAUACAUGGUGUUUUUAAUAACUAAAACCAUACGAUUGGAUAUCAAUUACACGCUUUUGAUUCUUUCCGAUUGAAAAGUAAAGGAAAUUGACUUUAAAAAUAUAUAUUUUCGGAUAAAAUGACAAAGGGGGGAGAUAUUUCUCCCUAGCCUUCUUCCUCAAACACGCCACUGUAUACUUAUAAUAUUAUAGCUGGCUAGGUCGAAAGCGGGUAGGAAAAAAACGGGGGUUUUUUUUUUUUUCAAAAACCAAAGAGUUACGCACGAUAACAUUCGAAAAAACAUUAUUUUAGAGAUCGUCGAAAGUGUAAAAAGCGAUUACGAUGAUAUGAGCAGGACAUCGGGUGUAAAGAGAAGCCCAAACCUACUGCGACUAAACGGGCGGUGCUGAAACAGAGUUCAGUGCGAAAAGGGCCUUUAGGAACGCGGGAAUAGUGAAUAAGCGGACGCUUUAAAGGGUGGCGGAUCGAAUUAGGUUUUCGUGGGCGAUUUUGGCAAACGUUAAAUUCAAGUAAUAACAACAAUGACAAUGAUUUCAAAGAAUAAAGAAAUGCAGCGUGUAGGUUAAAAAGUGAAUUCCGCGGAUUACAUUAUUACGUGGCGAGUCGUGGGAACCGCUCUCGUUUUCGGUUGAAAACUCCGGACGAUGCGUUUUUGUUUUUUUUAUUAUUAUUUUGCUAACCUUCCGAUUUCGCGUUGCAAUAAUACUACACGCCGACGAGACGCCGCGCGAUUUCAUCACGCAUUAAUAUUAUACCACGAUAUCGUUUUAUACGCGUGUAGACAAUAAACGAACAGUGAGGACACAUACCCACGCUAACCGCAAGAGAUGCUGGAUUAGGUUAGGUCAGUAAUGGCGGCCGACUGAGCCCGAUUUAUAAUCGACAAUGGUUAUGAUAAAACCGAUUGUUGAACGUGCGCGUUCCUAGCUUGUCCGCGAUUAAUAUACACGCUUUCGCGAAAUCGUACAGAAAUAGAUUAAUCUGUUCUGGUGGCAAAGUCCGUGGUGUUCCGACAACGGUCGUUUAUUGCGAGCUGUUAUCGUCGAAUUUCGAUUCCGAAAUAACGAAACACACGGCGUUCGCGGAGAGGGGAACGAAAAUCGCCCCAGUCUCUCUCGUCUUUCGUGAACCGAAAUAUCGUUACGCCGCGUCCUAGAGUUCGUCUACGGUUAUACGACGGACUAUUUCUAAUACCAUCGGUUUUAUAUAUCCCGUUACCGUUCUGUAAUCAAUAAUCAAGACCGGGGGCCGUUUCGGCUCGACGCCCCCGACCGUGGACGUAGGUACGCAAAUAUUAUAUCUGUGUGUCGGGUUCGGCGGCGUUAAUCCGUCACAAGGAGAAGUGGCGAGACGUGGGAUUUCGACGCGUCUUACGUUUGGCCGUUUUGUCGCGAUUUCGCUUCGUGUGUUUCGCAAAUGAAAAUAAGCCGUUUUUUUACUCGACGGUUUUUCAACAAUUUUAGAUUUCGAGCGCGGCGAAGGGAGCUAUUGAUUUUACUAAGAUGUUUAUUUCUUAUUUUUCUUCUUUUUUUUUUUUUGAUCAAGUCGUGGACACGUUUUUUUUUUUUUUUUUUUUAGUAAUUAGCUCCCGAUUUUUACGUGUAGCAAUUUUUCUGACAUUUUUUUUUUUUGAUUUUUGACGCCGUUUCCAAACAAAAGUACUUAGGUGGGAGAAAACGUAAUAAAACUUACAAUUUUACGAUUUUAUUAUUUUAUAAAAAAACACGGACGACGUUUUCUACCAGAAAAAAUGAUUUAAUCGAAAAAUCACAAGACUUCUUUUUUGUUGCCUUUUUGAUUUACUUUCUAACGGCGCCAUUGCUAAAACUUUUGAGCUUUUAAAUAAUUUUAAUUUUUGGGAGUAGUUUUUUGUUGUAACUCGGUUAUAAAUACACGUAGAGACUUGAAACUUGGUAAUAAUACUAAUAUUGGACUUACCUUAACGUGAUAAAAUUUUAAAAAUCAUCGGAUGACUCCGAUGAUUUUGAUUUUUUUUACUAAGCAUUUUGAAAUAAAAUUUUAACGAAAAUCGCAAAAGUCAUGUAUUAACAAACUACUCUCGGAAUCGUCUUUCGUCAAGCAAUGGUUAUCGUUUCAUACAGAUAUAAAUGAAAUAACCUUAUGUAUCCUACCUUUACAACUUCUCACCUAUAACAGUGGCCGCUCCCAUCUCCAGUAUCAGCUAUUUUUUUUAUUUUGAAGUCGGUUUUUUUAAAAAAAUUUUUAGUUUCAUUAUUUUGGAUUUUUAAAACAUUUUUGGGAAAUUUAUUGCGCAUUAUGAUAUUUCCGAUCCUAAUUAUAAUACAAUCCGUAUGUAUUAUUAUUCAUAACGUAUUCGGCUACAUAAAAAUUAUAUUAAAAUCGAUUUUUGAUGUAUCACGGUAAAUUAUAAUAUUGAUCUCUUCGUAUUUCUCUUCGAAUUGAUUUUCGCUAAUAAUCUGGUACAAUAAUAUAGAGAAAAAAACGCAUUAAAAGAAAAAAACCGUUCUAGGAUAACGGAGACGAGUGCAGUCACUGAUUUGUGUAAGAAGUCGGGAAAGUAGGAUAGGAUACAGAAGGGAAUUUAAUGUAUAUCUGUACGAAACGAUCAACCGUUGCUAACGAAAGCGGAUUCUGAGCGGAGUUUGGCUAACAGUGUUGCUUUUUCAACAAUAUACAUGUCAUAUUAUUGCAAAAUAAUUAAAUAGACAUUACAUAUUUUUUUCAAUAAUAUUUGUUUCAUAUUGUAACGAUUUUCCUGUUUUUCCUCCGUUUCUUCUCAUUUACUAAAAAAACUUUUGGGAACAUCAUAAAAAUGACCUGCUUAAUGUAACGCCCCGGGAAAAUUACCUUUCAGAAAACGGUCAAAUAUCGUAUACAUCGGAAUAAUCUAUCCGGUAGAAUGAGUGUUCGCAUAAAAAUACAAAUAAAACAUCUUUUUUUAAAACCAAUACAUUCUUCGCUACACUCUGAAUCUAAAAACAAAGUGUUCAAUUUAACUGAAUGUAAUAUAUCGUGUUAGUACCUAAAUAGGUACGUUCCGCACUAUUCGCGUUCACGAGCAUUUCACUGAUUCCGUUUGAAAAUAUAACACGUCCGUAUAUCGAUUUUUAAAUAACAUAAACUUUGAAAAGAAAAAAAAAAUACGUCGGAAAUACCUAUAUUAUACAGAAGGUUGUUUAUUUUAACGUGUGCGUGUGUAAAAUAUUCUUGCCAGUCGACUAUUAUAACAUGGAAAAUAUAUUUAUUUUACCGACUCGACUAAAAACUAUAAUAUAGCGUAGGUAUAACUACGCAUACAAUACCGGCUAACAGCUCUUCGUGCAAACGACGCGAAUGUUCCUCGUCGCGUUUUUUUUUUUUUUCGUUUUUAAUUCUGAAGGGGGUAAUUUAGUAAAAAAAAAAUUAAAUAACAAAAAAAAAAAAAAACAACUAAUAGGUAUCAUAGAAACCACGACGGAAAUAACCGAAACGCGUGUUAUUAUCGACGAUACGGGUUCGCGUUUGGGACUUGAUGGCGGAUAGGGCUGUUGCGGGGAACUGGAAAUUUAAGGGCACCUACACGAAAGAGCGUGUCGGAAUAAAAGUAACGAGCGAAAAAAAAAACAAAAAAAAACAACAUAUGCAAUUUCAGUCAGGGUUCAAUAAAUCUUUAGUUUUAGAUUCCGAGUAGACCGAAGAAUACAUUGGUUUUACUAAGAUGUUUAUUUUAUUUUUUUUUUUUUUAAACACUUUUUCUACCAGAAAGCUUACUCCAAUGUAUACUAUGCAAAUCCUCUUCGGAAAAUUGAUUUUCUUGGGGUGGUGCUUUGAGGAGGUUAAUUUUCGAUUUUCUCGGGAGUUUUCUCAAUAAAUUUGAAAAACCGAAAAAAAACCCGAGAAAAACGGAAACACGUACGUAAUAUAUUAGUAAAAUCUUGUGUAUUUUUUUUUCUGUGGACACGUUUUCCACCAGCAAUUUCGUUCCGAUUCACAAUGGUAGCGUUUUUUCGAAAACGAAAUUUUAUUGUGGAGAUACUUCAGGGAGGUCGUUCUUUUUUACCGAUACCCGUGCAAAAACCGAGAAAACACACGGGAAAACCGGGAAAAACGUAAGAAAUACGGGAAAAUCGGUACAAUAUUGAACAAAUAUUAUUAAAGAAAAUAUGUAAUACUUGUUCAGCUAUUUCACCAAAAUAUGACGCGUAAAUAUAUUGUCGACAAAUCAUCACCGUCAACCGGACUCGGCUCAGAAUGUUUUUAAUAAGCAACGGUUUAUCGCUGCUAACAGAUACAAAUCAACGUCCCCUCUAUAUCCUACCAUCCCGAUUUUUCACCAACAACUGUGGCUGCGCCCGUCACCAUUAUCCUAGGACAUUUUUUUUUUUUUUUUUCCACUCGUCGAUAUAGAACCGCCCGACGAUCAUAUAAAAUGCAAUACGAACGUUGCGUCGACCGUACCGAUAUUAUUCAAACGCACGGAAAUAUUAUUAUCGUAACAUACUUUUUCGUCACAGAACGCGUUUCGUACACGUUUUUAACGCUUUUUUAAUCCAUGAUGUACACGAAAUAAUACGAGUGUGUUUUCGAAACGUGAACCCGUCCGCAGCUCUAACAACGAUAAUCAUAUUUUGUGUAUUGUAUAAUCUUGUAUAUUAUAGUACAGCGACCAUUGUUGAUUUUCUGGUUUUUUUUUUUUCGCCGCGCAUUCAUUAUUUCGUUUUUUCCCCUGUCCGACGUGUUUCGGUUAUAUGCAAAUGCAUAUAGGCCCGUGUGCAGCGGCAACUAUCAUCUGCUUGAAGAAUUAUUUAUUUUUUUUUCAACCCGAAAAUCGGUUACCCCCCUUUUUUUUUUACGUUAACGACGACGACGACUACGAUGACGGCCACGACUACGACAAAGAGACGUUUAACAACACAGGGGUCGGAGUUCUUUUUUUUUACUUUUUUUUUUUUUUUUUAUUCGGUAUUAUUAAUUUUCUUUUGUUUCUUCGGCUUUUUUUUUUUUUUUUUGCGUUAUAAUUAUUAUUAUUUAUUAUUAUUUUUUUUUUCGUGUAUAUAUAUAUAAUUGCGCUCAGUGGGAAACGCUUUUAUAUGGUCUAACACCUCAAAAAAAAAAAAAAAAAAAUCCUAUUCACCCUUGUCAGUGUCAAAAGUCGUGAUAGGUUUUUUUCGGUUCCUAGACGCAUGCGGCUGCUGCCGCAGUGAAUAACGCACGCUGCACACACUAUAUACACUAAAUCACCCUUUGAAUAUUUGAAUAGUUAAAAAAAAACUUCGUCAAAGCUGGGGUUUUUUUUUUAUUUUUUUUUUUCGUCGCCGGGAACGAAUUAAUUUUUUGAUAAAUUAAAUUUUUUUUUUUUAUUAUUGUUAUUCACUCUUUACUCUUCCCCGAUGAUAUGACGAUCUGGGUUUUUUUUUUUGCCCGAUGUCUUUCUAGCGGAAAAAAAAUUCAGUAAAAAACACUACAAUCAAAUAUUUCAUUAUGAUAUUGUGUAAUAAGCAAUAUAUAAUAGAACUGGCGCGUGUGACUCUUCGACAACAGCAGCAGCAGCGGCAGCUGUACAGCGUGAUCAGAUAAUUAAACGCGCGACACAAUAUGGCCAAUACGGUUUUUUUUUUUUUUUAUUUUUAAUUUUUUAUAAGGCUGUGCAUAAUAUUAUAAUAUAUUGGACACGACUGCGACGGCAACGACGAUUACGAUGUGUGGCGUUGCAUUGUUUUUCUAUGAACGCUGCGAAACCGUUUCAAGGGCUCACGACGCAGGCUCCCGCGAUGGGGCGUUUUUUUUUCUUUUGUGAGGCGAUUUUUUUUUUCCAAACUGCAUUACGUGUAUAUACCUACCUACUCGUACGUUAAAACAAAAGGCUGAAAAGACCUUUUGUACGGAACGUAUUUUAUACGCUUGGCAGAAAAAAAAAAAAAAAACAUGCUUAACGGUCACGACGAUCAAUAAAAUAUCGUAUGUUAUUAAUAGUUAUACAAUAUACGAAUUUUAAUCACGAGCAAAUCAUUGUCGACGCGAUAACGUGACAAAGGACAAUUUUUCAUAAAAAAAAAAUAAAAAAAAUAUUUAGUCUCCAUUCUAGAACAGGGGAAGACUGAAAAUUGUAUUUAUUUUUAUAACGGCGAGUAUUACGAAUACGUAUAAUAUGCACGAAAAAACAAAGUCGAAAACAAUUGCAACAACCAAUAAUGAAGAGUGUUUUACACCGGUGAAACUGCAGAUUAAAUCCAAACUCUCAACAAGAAAGUCCGAGAAAAGGCGAAUUACGGUCAGUCCCGUGUGAACUAAACGUGGUCGGUACAAAAGGCGACGUGGGAACGUCGAUGAUCUUUGAAAGGAAAAUAUUCCGACGCAUCUUGACGGUCCUUUUGUGAGAACUGGAGGAACACCGAACAGUAGCAAACGAGGAUGUGACCAAUUUAUAGCGAAACGAUGAUGAGAUAUUAUGCAAAUUAAGACCAGAAAAAUCAAAUGGAAAACACCUAUAGAGGUCGUCCCGGCCGAAAGCGUGCGCGAAUAAAGAAAACUGACGUGAAAUAGUACAGGAUGUAGCGAUGGCUCUGAAUGUAUAAUAAAAAAAAAAGACUGACGUAUUUCGCAUGUAGGUGCAGACAAGUGUUGUAGGUGGGAAGUCGGGAAGGUAGGAUAUAGAAAGUAAUUUAAUGUAUAUCUGUAAGCAACGAUAAACCAUUGCUAACGGAAAAACGCUUCUGAACGGAGUUCAAUUAAUAGGGAUGUUUUGUCAACGAUAUUUAUACGUAAUAUUAUUGUGAAAUAAUUAAACAGGCAUCAUAUAUUUUCUCUAACAAUAUUUGUUUAAUAUUGUACCGAUUUUCCUACGUGUUUCCCGGUUUUCAAAUGGUUUUUUUUUUCAGUUUUUACCAUUUAUCGGAAACACUCGUGGGAAAAUCGAAAAAAAACUACCUACUUAAAGUACCGCCUCAAGAAAAUUUUCUUUCGGAAUAAAAAAAAGUAAAAAGGAAUAUAAUUAUUAAUGAACAAAAACAUUAUUUUGUUACGACGACUGAUCAAUUUUAACCGAAUAAAAUACAAAUUACACCUGUACUCUGAUAUUAUAAAUUAAUUUAUGGAAUCCGUAAGUGUUUUAUUCGCAACGGAGAUCACUCUUAAAAAUGAAAUGUGCCGUCAUCGAUAACGCGUCCAUCAAAAGUAAAUUAUGGAGUUUCGAGAGUUAUAAUCUUUGUGUACGGUUAUUCUAAAAAUAGACUCGCGAUAAUUAGCCGACUCACGGAUAACAAACUAUAAAACUUACGUUUCGUUCGGUUAAAACGUAUUAAAAUGGGAACUACGUUCACGCGUGCAUCUCGACGCGGUGGUGGCUUAUGCGACGGAGGGAUUUCGUGGCGAUCGCAUUUCUGUCGAUAAAUUUGUAAUUUACUUUUUAAACCGUAGGUUUUUAUGGCCACAUAAUAUAAACUAUGAACGUGGCAUUUUGUUUUUACGUUGAAUCAAAUAGACAAUUGUAAAAAUUGGCCAAUUAACGGCGUGAUCAGUUUAUUUAACAAAAUAUCAAGCCGUAAAACUGUUAUUGCGUAACAGGCAUAAAUUAACUAAAAGAGAAAAAUAUAUCCGAGUACGUAUUCUGAAAAUUUUUUGCUCGUUUAUUCGAUUAAGGUGUUCGAGUAUUCCGAAUAAAAAAUUAACUAUCCGUCUUUCAAGAGUGCCGACGGUGAACGAACGCACAGUAAUAAACCGAACACAUUUUGAACCAUCUCUUCUCGCCGAAAUUCGAUUUCAGUUACGGUCUUGUAAGUUUCGAGUACCCGAGAUUCCAGUGCAUCCCGCUCCGUUAAUGAUCUCAGAUCCGCCGAUCUCCCGACAACCGCCGUGACGUUGUGAAUAUGCAAAAACCUCGCCGUGGGCCGUCCUAAAGACGCGUGCACGCGUGACCGCGAAUACCGCAGUUAUCGGUUACCGUUACCGGGAACCGACUACUAUCGCCGAUUUCGUCACGACUUAAAACGCGACCUACUCGCUAGCGUAUAGAACGAACGUAUUUGCACGGAGGAAGGUCAACCGGAAAGUGGUGUUUUCGCGGAGAAGUCGACGAAAACGCGACAGACGCGUACAUAUACGUCUUAUUUUUCGCAAGCGACUUUUACUCGUACAAUUUUUUUCUCGAAACACAAACGGCAUAUGGUCCCGACCGUUAUUUCGAAAACAAUAUUUCCAACGAACUACGAAAACAGCCGUUCUGUUACACCGCGAUACCGAAAGGAAUGCCGUCGGUAGCACGCAGACUCUCAAGGCCCAAAACAGCAACCGCCCACAGCCUCCGCUAUAUCCUACAAUAUUAUUGGCGGCAGUUUUCGCGUUCCCGGCUUCCGUUAACCGUAAGCCUACUUGUGUAAGUCUACCCUGUCCGUCUGACCCCCGGCCACCGGAUCCCUGAUUAUAGCGUUCGUUCUCCGUGUAGUUGUUUUCGAAUUCUUUCGUUUCCCCGUGUUCCGCGUUCUCCGUCAACGGGUCUUGUCGGACCGUACGUUUCUCUCGAUGUCUUUUAUCCAAAGCUUUUGGCUUUGUGUCGUCCGAAUCCGUAGCGACCGUUCGAGCACCGCGCGCGUCAAUAGGCGCCGGUCUUAGAUACGAACUGUGUGACAUCGACCCGAUUAAGCGACCCGUCGUUUCGUCUCCUCGCGGGCGCCGUUGACGUUCUCGCUGCCCCCGUAAAUACUCGAAAUUAGUUAGCCUCUCACACCGCGUACGUAUAAAUGGUCUACUCGUACAAUACACGGUACCGGGCACAAUUGUCUUGUUGCACGCGAAACGCCGCACAAACUCGGGGUUCUGAGUUCUGUGUAUCGCUUGUGCCCGCGACGGAAAUCGCCGUAUCUGUUCUAUUACCGACGGGUGAACGGUCGGUUUUCCGGGGCGACGACAGGCGACAUACGCAGAUCGGAGAUUGAAAUUCGGAAGAGGCGAGAUAGGCGAGCGGUCGGCCGGCCGGCGGCGGUGUGAUAUCGCGCGGGGAAAAGACGGACGGCGGGCAGGCGAGGCGGACGAGGCGGGGAUUGAAACGUAGGCCGAGUAAUACGCAGGCCGUAGGCCGGGCGACGGUCGGGCCGCCGAGUUCGCCUCCCGUGUUGUGCGCGCGGAGACGCGGGGAAAAAAACGGACCGCGGAACGAGGUCGGUGAGGGGAUUGGGGGGGGGGGGAAAUGGAAAAAACGACUCGACGCUAAACCGAGGCGGCGGCGCAGACUGGAUAGCGGUUCGGGUUUUUUUUUAUUUUUUUUCCCCCGUUUUAUCGCAUUACGUUAUCUGACGUAGGCGGUAUUCCUACUGCCCGUACGGUGAAAAAUUUAUCGCGCGCGUUCGGUUUCGGGGCCGGGCCCCCGGAGGGUCAAAGCUGUCGAAAUUCCGACGAACCGGUCCGCCGCACGAAAACCGCGCGGGCAUAUAAAAAUAUAUUGUGUUUAUUGUGCCGCGCCGCACCUGUACGCGCGCGCCGCCGACUCGCAUCCGUCUUGGAAACGUUAGCGGGACCCGGCCGUAUUAUUUUCACCGGCGGCGGCCGCGCGACGUCCGCCACCGCGUGCACGAGGUAUACGAGAAGACCUGGGUGGAGGGAGUAGUGAGUAGGGGGCGGUGGGGGGGGGGGGGGGGGGGNNNNNNNNNGGGGGGGCGGGGGGAAAUUACUCGUAUGGGAAAAAAAAAAAAUAGUAAUAAUAAAAAAUAUAAUACCCGUGUAAUACGCGCGCGCGCUCGCUGCACGAGUCUCCUCGCGUCCCGUGUCUCGCCGCCGCCGUUCGAUUCGGAUUUCUUUCGAAAACCGGUCCUGCCGCUGCCCGCGCCCCGCUCCCUUCCGCCCGUCCCGUCGCCGGUCUCUAACCCGCGGCGCGACCGCCGCAGUCCCGGGCCACGACGCACUCGCGUCAUCGUCGCGCCGUAUACUGCGGGGCCGCCGGUUAUAAAAAUAUUAAAUUAUCGUAGGCAGGUAGGCAGGUAGGUAGGCGGGCGGGUGGGUAUAGGUAUAGGUACGGACGGACGGACGGACGGACGGACGGACAGGCAGCAGCAGGUAAGAUGUACGCGCGGGAGUUUGUUGAACCCGGCCGGGCCCGCGUUUUCAAACGAAAUUCCCCAACCCUUUUCCCCUUUCCACACCGCUCCUCGCCCCCACCUCCUCCCCCCCCCUCUCGCUCGCCGGCGCGGUAAGGUACGGACGGACGCGGGGACGCCGGGUUAGAAUAAUAAUGUUGCGCGAGGAGCGUGCGCGUGUCUUUCUCCGUCCGCGCUCUCCGGCUCGCUCGCGCGCCUCGUAUACAGGCCGAUCGCUUUAACGCCGCGUUAGACAACAAUCGUUAUUUGAGUAAAUUUGCCGCCUAGCCCAGUACAGCGCGGCGCGUGUAUUUCGAGGCCACGUUAUUGAAGACGUUAAGAGGACGUUCAGACGCCCGUUUAGCUACUGCAGUCUCGGCCCGGCUCCGUGUCGGACAAUACAGACAAUUUUUCCGGGAGGGGCAUCACCGACCGUAUUUCUGGGUGGGCAAACGAAAUUUCCAGGGAAGGCAGUGGCCCCUCCCCCUCCAUGUUAUACGCCCGGAUUCAACACCGGUCCGACUGCCGGGUAUUAAACGCGCGAAAACAAUGCUCACGCGGAAUAAGUAAAACUUAUAUAGUUCGAUUUCGAUUUUAGAGUAAACCCAGGUACCUGUAUUAUUGUGAAAUCGUAUAGAGAACAAUAAAUUUCGGAGGGAAUUUGAUAGGGUUUUUAUUGUACUACUGAAAACAUAAAAGAAACGAACACCUGUCUUUCUUUUUUUAAAUAACUGUAACUUUUUUAAUUGUAUUCAUAGAACACCUACGACAUUCUCUUCGAAAUACUGUUCCCAAUACAUUUCACAAUUGGUACUUGCACUCUAAAAUCAAAACUAAUACGCCAGUUUUACUCGUUUUGCGCGUUACCCGGUAUGGUUGGACCGAGACAGUAGACGCGGGUAUAACGUCCUCGUUGACGAAUAUUAUUUAGUACGGCGCGCCUGAAAGCGAAUGAAUAGAAUUCCCGAGCGUUUCGGCCACGUGUUCGUUACAAAAUUGAAAUCCCACAGAAAUCCCUGUAUCCCGUUCGGAUGUCACGCGUGCGCGGCAGUUCGUCCGCGUGUAUACGAUACACUUUCGUCCGACAAACGAACCCGUGGAAAUCGGUUCGGUAGAACUGCUCGUACCGUAGAAAUAGCUCCGCCGGAUUACUCGCGUUUGAUUGCAAUAUCGGAGGCUACACUCGUCCGCAACCGAAAUCUCAGGGUGUUUGAAAAACAUCGCGGUGGCUGUUUGAAAACCGCACGUCGCGCGUACGGUUCACUGUACUGCGUAGGUGAUUCUGUAAAAUAUUCCCGAUAUCCGUGUACCCGCGGAACGGGAUUGUUCGCGCGCCGGAAGAAUCCAUCCGCAAUCGAUUUCGAUGAAUCUCCGGUUCACUUUGAAAUAUUAAAUAAUCGACCCGCGCGACGGGCACGGCACGUACGCCGCGGCGUAUUCGCGUCGUUCGCUCCGGCCGCUCGAAUAAUUUAAGCGGACCCGGAGAACGGGAGGACCGGUCGGAGUCGGAGAAUCGCGACGGAUUUGGAACUUGCACUGUUUCUCUCCGCGGGAUCGCAGUCCUGUCGGUUUUACGGUGGCCCGCGCUUUCGUUUACUUCCGAUAAAUCUCGACCGUCGACUUUGGCGGCGGUGUUUCCGGUAGCGAAUUUCAUCCGGUCGGUGCGCCGGGCAUGUCUAUUGUUUAAUGAUUUUAGUUUCUUAUCAUAGUUAUUAUUUUUUUUUACCGUUUGUUUUACGCGGUUAACAAUAUUAUUCUACACGUACCUACGCGCUCACAAAUACUGUUACAAAAUUAAAUCGCGCAACACCGUGUACAACAGCCGUCGUCGGGUUAGCGAAACGGCUUAGAGGGCGUGAUUGACGCGCGCGCGUUCGCCGUCUUGCGAACGGACCACUCGGGAAAUUUUCGUUUGCCGAGGACGACGUUGCGCCGUUAGUUUCGAUAUUUAAUCGAAUUUAUUGCAUGUGGUCGCACUUAACGGCCGGGACAACGUCGGCGCUGUUUUUCCGAUGUUUUCGUUUUCGAGAACGAUAUGCCUGUGAUACACGACUGACCGCUUAUACCGCUCUCGCGCGCGCGGCAAAAGGUUUUGCCCGUCGAUCGCAUUUCACAACGAUAACGAUUCAAUCGACGUAUUCGUUUUUUUAAUUUUGUCUAUCGAAUCAAUUCCAAGCGGGUAGGAUUCGACAGAAUUCGAUAUUAUUAUACCGAUCGUAUUUCGCACGAAACUGGAAUGGUUAAAGACGGCGUAAAGGAAAACCGCACUCGGGGCUAAAUUAACGAGACUCGUUUCCAUUUCGGACGCGAACAAACGCAAUCGAGUACGUACUGUUGCCGUAUCGAAUGUUCACGCGCCGGAGCUGCGGUUUAUACACGCGUACGUAUUUCCGCCAGCGUAUUGCGUAGGCGUAUGAUUGUCGAUUACAAUGCAAUUCGAACGUUUUCGUCAAAAUGGAUAACGGACAACGGUCGUACGAUUGUGCGCGCUUUGGUUCGCGGUGAACAAAAUCGAAACGAGUUGCGCGGACCGUCCACUGUUGUUGAUCGCGUCUACGGCUUUAUCGACGAAACCCCCGGCAACCCCGGACCGUAGACGUUUUCCGUUCUGCCGCGGCGAACACUCGCGGCCCGGUAUCCGCUACUCGUACGGUUAUCCGCGGCGGCGCGCCGGGUACGGGCCGGACCAGAUCGAAACGGCGAAAAUCCAAUUAUCGCCGCGUGCGCGUACCCGCGGAGACCUACGCCGCGGCAAUGUCGCAAGCGAUGGCGUAUCGGGGGGACGGGAGGGGGGGGCGGGGGUAGCGGGAGGGGGUAUCGUCGACGACGGCGACGGUGAUAAUAAUACGCGCCCGUAGAGGGUACCACCGCGUCGCCUACACAAUAUACGCGAUGCGCAAUAACAUAAUAACGGGGCACACGGUAAAAAAAAAAAAAGCGAAAAUCGUUUUCUGUCGCCGCCGUCCGAUUUUAUUAUCGUUAUUAUUAUUAUUGUGUAUUCGCGCACGCCCUCGUUAUUAUCGUAUAAUACUGUACCCCGUGCCCGCCUGCCCGUCCGCCCGUCCGCCCGUACGCACGUGCGUUGUACGUAACGCGUGUAAUACGCGCUCGCCCGGGUCGAGGUAUGAAUUACCGAACAACAACGGCGGCGACAGCGGCGAAAACGCGACCCCCGACUGAAAAAAAAAAAUAAUAAUAAUAAUAAUAAUAAAAAAAAUAAAUAACAAUAAUAAUAGACGAUCCGUGAUGCCGAUAGUCCGUCGCCGACAACGGUAAUAACACUUCACGACGCCUACCUGUAAUAAGGCGGCGCGCGAUGUUUAAAAAAAAAAAAAAAAAAAAAAAAAAAAAAAACGNNNNNNNNNNNNNNNNNNNNNNNNNNNNNNNNNNNNNNNNNNNNNNNNNNNNNNNNNNNNNGGGGGGGGGGGGGGGGUGGAUCGGACGUUCCGACGGAUUCCCUGCGAGUUGCCGGCCGGCCCCGGGUCGCACUCGCACGACGCGUGACCGCCCGGUGACGGCGCUUAGCGCUCAGUAAGCAGUGGCGAUAAGGGAAAUUCGUUCGCGUCGUCGCAGUGUCACGCGGCGUUAACGGAUUCCGAAUGCCGUCGGUUCACGUUGACGGUUUCGAUUAACGUUUGACCGGGCGUAAAACAUCGAAACCCCGCGGGGCUAGUAAUUAUUAAUUUUGUACGUAAUAAUCUUCUUCUUCUUCUUCUUCCGUGACUCCGGCCUCCGAGACCGCGUCGUCCAACGGAUUCGUCUCCGCGUCUCCCUGUCUAAGGCCAACUCCUCACAAUCCGAUCCCGGUCUCGCUUUCUCCGCGUCCUCUUCGGUCUUGUCUGCCCAGCGUGACCUCGGCCUUCGCAAAAGCGGUCGUUUUCCUUCCCUCCAGACUUCCGAAUACUCCGAAUUCUCGUUAUCGUCUCGUGACGGUCGUACUGUCCCUAUUAUGACCCAGCCUACUGUCUGCGGUUAAAACGAUGUUAACUACAUAAGAAAAUAACCCGCCCGGUGGUUAUAGUUUUCGCCGAACGCUAUUGGAGCUAAUUCUAGUUGAGUUUUCAAACGCACCAUCGGGAAACGUAUUAACGCGCUCAACUCAAACGAGCCACAAACGCAAAUGGAAUCCUCCGAUUGGCUUUUUGAUCGGCUCAACGCGAACUCAACGUAUCGAUAACACGAUUUUAAGGCGAGCUUUACGUCGCCGUUGGUCCGAACCGGAUACGCCGCGUAAAACCUCGAAAUUCGGCCCCUCUGAUUCGGCUACUUUUUUUUAUCUUUUUUUUUUUAUUAUUUAAAAAAACUAUACAAUUUUUAAUAGUUUUAAUUUUAUACAAUACAUAACAUAUAUGUUUUUCUUAAUUACUAUCGUACAAGUUUUCUCGCUUCUCCAGUCAACGGUAUAUAUUCUACGACACGAUCAUGAAUGAAAAUACGGUACAGCUGUAUUUGCACCUUUUAAAUUUUCAGAGGCCAAAUUAAUAUUGACUGGAGAAGCUUUUACUGAAACAUUCUGUUUCGAAAUAUCAACAACAACAAUCGGUCGCCUUUCCAAAAACUGCGUAGGACUUAACACAGAACUUCGCACUACAUUUCCAUAGUAAUACUCUUGGAACGGUGCAUGCAUAUCACAUGAUAAAGAGUAAUUUUUCUUACUAAAAUCUAAAUUCAAAUACGGAUACGUAACAGAAUUAAAAUAUACUCGUUCACGUUUUGUUAAAUUACAAUGCUCGAAUUUACCAUAAUCUUCGGUGUUUUUCUGUAAACGAAUUAUUUACCUAUCUCUCGAUUGUUUCUUUAGCUAACGUACGCGUUACACGGGUUUCACUACCGAUAACAAAGGAGAAUCUAACCGUAAAUAAAACCGUUCAAAUCGCUACGAAAAUCAUUAGAGUCUUUCAUCUUCUAAACAAAGUAUCACUGUUACUCAUCGGUUUUUACGGCAUAACAAAAUAUAUCACAAAGUGCGUACGGUGAGCAAACUGAUUUCACAGACAACACCGGUGAUAUGAGUUUGUUAUUUGUAGUUUACUAUUUUUCAACAUAAUAACUCGUAUUAUUUUUAGAGUGAUACAAACAUGUUUGCCCAAGUGUUUGGUCACGAAAACAGAACCUAAAAAAAACUAUGACUAAAAUUAAACAGACAAAAGACACUAAAAAAUUAAACAAGCAUUCGAACAUUCUCGAAAGGUUAAAAAAAAAAUAUACAUUUUUAAUUGCAUAGAAUAUAUUAAUAUUUUAUUAUUAUAUUUUAGACGAAUAAUUUCCAUGAAAAUUUAAUCCGAAAAGCUGAUGAUGCGUCUUCUAAACAGAUUAGCACGGAUCGAAAUUCGCAAUACAUUGAAUUUGGAACUCGAAACCACGUCUGGAAAAAGCCUGUCUCCAAUAAAGUAACUGACUACUGGGCAAUCCAUCAUUGUAAGACGAAAGACAUGGAAGAGGUUGCGUCUAACGAGCAGUAAUUUUGGAUUUGUCGAGGAUUUUAAAAAGAUUUGCAAUAAUUGGUUUUUCGGAAAAAUACCAAAGAUUACAGUAAAUUCGAGCAUUGUAAGUAUUGAGAGUAUAUUUGAAUUCUGUUAUGUAUCCGUAUAACGAUUUGAAUUUAGAUUUCAGAAAAAACAAACUACUACGGUAUUGUACCGGCUGAUUCAUUUAAGUGGGUACACUCGUUAUUUCGGAAACUAUUGAUUCUUUUCGGGAUUCGUUUUCUAAAACGUUCAAGAAACAAGCGGCUCUACAAUUUUAUAUUUAUGUUAUUUUUCGUUACCCUUAUUUUCGGGGGUACCCACUUAUGAUUUUCAAAUGGCAGCCUAUUUUAAAAAGUCAACACUGAAAUUUAUUUUAACUAACACUCCGUCUGUUUAUCGACUUUUUGAUAUAGGUCGCUAUUUGAAAAUCAUUGGCAAGUAGUGGUUUUACCCCCCGAAAUAAGGGCGAUGGAUGUAAAUAUAAAAUUGUAGAGCUGCUUGUUUCUCGAAUGUUCUAGAAAACAAAUUUCGAAAAAAAUCAACGCUUUCCUAGAUAACGAGUGUGCCCACGAAUUAAACGAAUUGCUCGGGUAUGAUAUGUAUGCAUCGUUCCAAGAGUCUUACUCCGAAAACGAAGUGCGAAGUCCUAUAUGAAGUCCUACGCAGUUUUUGGAACGGGAACCGAUUGUUGUUAUUGAUAUUUCGAAACACAAUGGUUCAGCAACAGCUUCUUCAGUCAAUAUAAAUUUGGAAUAGAAGCCUCUAAAUAUUUAAAAGACGCAAUUUUACUGUAUUUUCAUUCACGAUUGUGCUGUAUAAUUCAUACCAUUGACUAUAAAAGAGUAAAAAAAACUUAUAUGAUAGUAUUUAAGUAAA
rnacentral:lncRNA from 1 species